AAUAUUGGGUAGCCUCUGCUCCAUGAUUUAUAUAGCCGCAGUAUUUUGACUGUGCUAAGGUAGCAUAAUAAUUUGUCUUUUAAUUGAGGGCUAGUAUGAAAGAGCUGACGACGCUCUUCCUUUUUUGGCUUUAAGCUGGAAUUUAAUAUUUACAUUAAAAAGUGUAACUCUCUGAGGGGACGAUAAGACCCUAUAAAACUUUAAUUUAAACUACUUUUAAUAUACCCAGGAGACUUAAGAGUUAUUAAAUUAAGCUGGGGCGGCAGCUAGGACACACUAGUAAAGUUAACAGACUGCUUGAAUAUAAAGAUCUUGUUAAGAAGUAGAAUAAGUUACUUUAGGGAUAACAGCAUAAUUUUUUUGUAUAGACCGUAUAGAAUAAAAAGACUUAUGACCUCGAUGUUGAAUUGGGGUACCCCCCCAAAGCAGAAAUUGGGGAGGGGGGUCUGUUCGACCUAUCACCCCCC
rnacentral:rRNA from 1 species